GCUGGACGUAUCACAAGUGCGAAUGCUGACAUAAGUAACGAUAAAACGGGUGAAAAACCCGUUCGCCGGAAGACCAAGGGUUCCUGUCCAACGUUAAUCGGGGCAGGGUGAGUCGGCUCCUAAGGCGAGGCUGAAAAGCGUAGUCGAUGGGAAACAGGUUAAUAUUCCUGUACUUGGUAAAGCUGCGAUGUGGGGACGGAGUAGGUUAGGUUAUCGCACUGUUGGAUAUGUGCGUUUAAGUUGGUAGGUGGGAAGUUUAGGCAAAUCCGGACUUCCUUAACACAGAGAGAUGAUGACGAGGCUCUACGGAGCUGAAGUAACUGAUACCACACUUCCAGGAAAAGCCACUAAGCGAAAGGCUUUACUAAACCGUACUGAAAACCGACACAGGUGGUCAGGUAGAGAAUACUCAGGCGCUUGAGAGAACUCGGGUGAAGGAACUAGGCAAAAUAGCACCGUAACUUCGGGAGAAGGUGCGCCGGCGUAGAUUGUAGUCCCUAGCGGGCGAAGGUUGAACCGGUCGAAGAUACCAGCUGGCUGCAACUGUUUAUUAAAAACACAGCACUCUGCAAACACGAAAGUGGAGGUAUAGGGUGUGAUGCCUGCCCGGUGCUGGAAGGUUAAUUGAUGGUGUCAUCGCAAGAGAAGCACCUGAUCGAAGCCCCAGUAAACGGCGGCCGUAACUAUAACGGUCCUAAGGUAGCGAAAUUCCUUGUCGGGUAAGUUCCGACCUGCACGAAUGGCAUAAUGAUGGCCAGGCUGUCUCCACCCGAGACUCAGUGAAAUUGAAAUCGCCGUGAAGAUGCGGUGUACCCGCGGCUAGACGGAAAGACCCCGUGAACCUUUACUAUAGCUUGACACUGAACAUUGAAUUUUGAUGUGUAGGAUAGGUGGGAGCCUUUGAAGCAGUGACGCCAGUCAUUGUGGAGGCGACCUUGAAAUACCACCCUUUAACGUUUGAUGUUCUAACGAAGAUGACGAAACGUGGUCUCGGACAGUGUCUGGUGGGUAGUUUGACUGGGGCGGUCUCCUCCCAAAGCGUAACGGAGGAGCACGAAGGUUUGCUAAUCACGGUCGGACAUCGUGAGGUUAGUGCAAUGGUAUAAGCAAGCUUAACUGCGAGACAGACAAGUCGAGCAGGUACGAAAGUAGGUCAUAGUGAUCCGGUGGUUCUGAAUGGAAGGGCCAUCGCUCAACGGAUAAAAGGUACUCCGGGGAUAACAGGCUGAUACCGCCCAAGAGUUCAUAUCGACGGCGGUGUUUGGCACCUCGAUGUCGGCUCAUCACAUCCUGGGGCUGAAGUAGGUCCCAAGGGUAUGGCUGUUCGCCAUUUAAAGUGGUACGCGAGCUGGGUUUAGAACGUCGUGAGACAGUUCGGUCCCUAUCUGCCGUGGGCGUUGGAUGAUUGAUUGGGGCUGCUCCUAGUACGAGAGGACCGGAGUGGACGCAUCACUGGUGUUCCAGUUGUCUCGCCAGAGGCAUUGCUGGGUAGCUAAAUGCGGAAGAGAUAAGUGCUGAAAGCAUCUAAGCACGAAACUUGCCAAGAGAUGAGUCAUCCCUGACUUUAAGUCAGUAAGGGUUGUUGUAGACUACGACGUAGAUAGGUCAGGUGUGUAAGUGUAGUGAUACAUUGAGCUAACAGAUACUAAUUGCCCGAGAGGCUUAACUAU
rnacentral:rRNA from 1 species